rnacentral:tRNA from 1 species
UGGGAUGUAGCUGAGUGAGAGAGUACUUGCCAAGCAUGCAUGAGGCCCUGGGUUCCAUUCCCAGCAACACAC